rnacentral:rRNA from 1 species
AUUGAACGCUGGCGGCAGGCCUAACAAAUGCAAGUCGAACGAGUGGCGGACGGGUGAGUACUGUCUGGGAAACUGCCCGAUGGAGGGGGAUAACUCCUGGAAACGGUAGCUCAUACCGCAUACCAUCGGAUGUGCCCAGAGGGGAUUAGCUAGUGGGUGGGGUAAAGGCUCACCUAGGCGACGAUCCCUAGCUGGUCUGAGAGGAUGACCAGCCAUCCUGGGACUGAGACACGGUCCAUACUCCUACGUGAGGCAGCAGUGGGGAAUAUUGCACAAUGGGCGCAAGCCUGAUGCAGCCAGGCCGCGUGUAUGAAGAAGGCCUUCGGUUGGUAAAGUACGUGCAGCGAGGAGGCGUUACUCGCAGAAGAAGCACCGGCUAACUCCGUGCCAGCAGCCGCGGUAAUAC